rnacentral:sRNA from 15 species
UACUCCCAGUGCAUACUUUUUUUUUUAUUGUGAAGGGCUUUCUCAAUGGUAGCUGCUACCGAAUGUAGUGCGGUCUCCACCGAUUUCCCUUUAGUAUAGGCAUGUUGGUUGGUUGACAUCAGUCCCCCUACCUCAUUCCUGCUGUGCAGAAGUCUCAAUGCAGUGCAGUGCAGUGCGGCUGCCUUGCUCGAUAAUGUGUUAUAAUUUUUUUCGUCCAUUCAGCUUUGACCGGCCAAUUAAUUGCACGCAAAAAUCGCGCUGACCCUGGCCGCAACUGUGAGCAUCUACAUCUAUCUUAAUCUCCCAGCUCCAUCGCAGCACAAGCAUUAACAUUGCGUUAGGCUGUCCAUCUGAUGUGCUGCUGAUCUCCGAUGCAGUUUCUAAUAAUAAAAGUCUGAUUAGCAUGGAAUUGGAUCGGUAACGAGGUGCAGGUGUCGUGUGUGGCUAUGCGAUGCUAAGCGAUGCUCUUUAUCAUUGCUACUUACAAUAUUUCAAACGAAAACAAGAAAGAAAGGCUAGCCGAAGUGUCAAGUACGACACGACCUAGACACAGACGCAGACCCAGUCCCAGUCCCAUGGGUGUUAUCUGAACGAUUUCCAUAUACACCAGUAAAGAAUCUUAUAAAUAAAGAGAUUAGCAGACCUCUUUCUGCUGCACCUUGACGACAUC